rnacentral:lncRNA from 1 species
GAGCGCUGAGGGUGGGAGUGCAGCAACCGACCACAAAGACCUCGAUUGUCAGCCGGCCCAGGCGCACAAUAGGGUGGGGAUAGCGCAGGGCCUGGGGCCUCCGCAUGGAGAUGAGGCCACGGCCCCUUUCUCUCUGCUCCCGGCCUGGCCCCCUCCUCCCUGGCCCCAGUGAGAAGGAAUACACAGACCUUGGACUGACCGUCCCAGAGGCGGAACUCCUUGUGGGUCCUGCCAGAGCUACUGGGCUGAGAGCUGGGCAGAAUAGAGCAGAUGAUGAGACUGGGGCUGCAGGAGCAGCCGAUUCCGUCUUCCCCUGCAGGAAAGACUGGGAGGCUGUCCCCGUGGUCUCACCGGCCCUGUGCAUGGUGACCUGAGCCUCCAGGGGGGUGGCCGGGUGCCCUGUUGGACGUCCUGUAGCGAAUUUGUCUCUGGGAGAAGAGCAGAGAGAUGAAGGCCUCCAUGCCACAGCCCAGGCCGUGCGCAUUUUGUGUUGACCUUGGCCACAGGCCGAGGGCGCGUCUGCGAGGUCUCUGCAUUGCAAGGUGCAUCCAGGUGCCCGUGAUCCUGUUCCCAUCCUCAGCGUCCUGGGCUCCGUUCUUUCCACCUGGCGUGUCGUUUCCUGAGCUGGAAGCUCCUGCCUGGGUCCUGUCCUCCUGCUGUUCCUCAUCCAAAGUUUCAUGGACACCAAGACAGGCAGUGCCCUCCACCAUAAGCUGGGGAGCCCUCGGGCCCUGGUGUCACCACAUCUUCUCAGAGACCUCUACCUUCCUGGCUUCUCCCUCUUCUUCCUUCCGACGUCUUUGUCCUGCAGACAGCCUGGGUCUUGCUCUGGGUGAGGCAUCCUGGAGCUGAGACCUUGAGGCCUGACCUAGUGGUGCCCCUUGGCACGGCCCAUUCCUGACAACACAGUGGUGUCACAGGAUUGAUUCUAACGCCUCAUGCUCCCUAACAGUGAAAGUGACAGUCAACUGGGCCUGUAGCGUGUUCAGAGGAGCUGGCGAGGAACCCCCUGGAGCCCCGGAAAGCUGGAUCUAGUGCAGCCCCGCACAGCCCUGGUGGAGGCCAGCUCUGCCGUUUGCCGUGUGCCCUGGGGUGCAUGCUGUCUGAGGGUGCACACUGUGCGUGACAUGGUGGCAGCCCCCACCCUCCCAUGUGGAGGGAACAACAGCAGUGAAGACCC